AGUUGUGGCAAUCUUUGAACACAGAGUAGCUGUGCAAGGCUUCAUAUGGGGAAUCAAUUCUUUUGACCAGUGGGGAGUUGAGUUAGGGAAGUCGCUGGCUACUCAAGUAAGAAAGCAACUUCAUGCAUCUCGUACAAAGGGGGAACCAGUGGAGGGCUUUAACUUCAGCACUACUUCAUUGCUAA